rnacentral:ncRNA from 1 species
AGGGCAAGUCUGGUGCCAGCAGCCGCGGUAAUUCCAGCUCCAAAAGUAUAUAUUUAAGUUGUUGCGGUUAAAAAGCUCGUAGUUGGAUUUUGGGCGCAGGCGGCCGGUCCGUCGCAAGGCGUGUACUGGACGUCCUGGCCUUCCCUCCGGUUCUCCGCCGGUGCUCUUGACUGAGUGUCGGCGGCGGCCGGAACGUUUACUUUGAAAAAAUUAGAGUGUUCAAAGCAGGCUCUCGAGCCUGGAUAAUGGUGCAUGGAAUAAUGGAUUAGGACCUCGGUUCUAUUUUGUUGGUUUUCGGAGCGCGAGGUAAUGAUUAAGAGGGACAGACGGGGGCAUUCGUACUGUGCCGUUAGAGGUGAAAUUCUUGGAUCGGCGCAAGACGAACGACUGCGAAAGCAUUUGCCAAGAAUGUUUUCUUUAAUCAAGAGCGAAAGUCAGAGGUUCGAAGACGAUCAGAUACCGUCCUAGUUCUGACUAUAAACGAUGCCAACUAGCGAUCGGGGGGCGUUACAUUGACGACCCCUCCGGCAGCUUACGGGAAACCAAAGUCUUUGGGUUCCGGGGGAAGUAUGGUUGCAAAGCUGAAACUUAAAGGAAUUGACGGAAGGGCACCACCAGGAGUGGAGCCUGCGGCUUAAUUUGACUCAACACGGGAAAUCUCACCCGGCCCGGACACAGUGAGGAUUGACAGAUUGAGAGCUCUUUCUUGAUUCUGUGGGUGGUGGUGCAUGGCCGUUCUUAGUUGGUGGAGCGAUUUGUCUGGUUAAUUCCGAUAACGAACGAGACUCUGGCUUGCUAAAUAGUUACGCGACCAUCCCGGUCGGCGUUUAAU